rnacentral:siRNA from 1 species
UGGGUCACCAGGUCAUCGGGUCA